rnacentral:rRNA from 1 species
CGCGUAGGUGGUAGUGCAAGUCUGGGGUGGAAUCCUAUGGCUUAACCAUAGAAUUGCCUUGGAAACUGUAUUACUUGAGUCAGUGAGGGGAGGGUAGAAUUCCUGGUGUAGCGGUGAAAUGCGUAGAUAUCAGGAGGAAGGCCUGUGGCGAAGGCGGCCCUCUGGCGCUGAACUGACACUGAGGCGCGAAAGCGUGGGGAGCAAACAGGAUUAGAUACCCUGGUAGUCCACGCCCUAAACGGUGGGUACUAGGUGUAGGGCUCGUAAGGGUUCUGUGCCGAAGCGAAAGCAUUAAGUACCCCGCCUGGGGAGUACGGCCGCAAGGUUGAA